UUGACUGACAGGGGUGGCAUACUCAGUCUGAUCUCGGACCCUGGCACCUGGCCAGCAUGUCGAUGACCUAAUAGAAGAUGAUGCCAUAUAUGGUUUAAGUGCUUGCUCGUCAACACAAGAUGCUGGCCCUUCAUCUCUUACAGCUGCAUCCUCGGAUGCAAAUCCUGCUUCCGAAGUCCGUUUUUGCAUGUAAGCUUUGGCAAUUUGGAUUGGUGAAGC
rnacentral:lncRNA from 1 species